rnacentral:rRNA from 1 species
AUGCAAGUCGAACGAUGAAGCCCAGCUUGCUGGGUGGAUUAGUGGCGAACGGGUGAGUAACACGUGAGUAACCUGCCCUUAACUCUGGGAUAAGCCUGGGAAACUGGGUCUAAUACCGGAUAGGAGCGUCCACCGCAUGGUGGGUGUUGGAAAGAUUUAUCGGUUUUGGAUGGACUCGCGGCCUAUCAGCUUGUUGGUGAGGUAAUGGCUCACCAAGGCGACGACGGGUAGCCGGCCUGAGAGGGUGACCGGCCACACUGGGACUGAGACACGGCCCAGACUCCUACGGGAGGCAGCAGUGGGGAAUAUUGCACAAUGGGCGAAAGCCUGAUGCAGCGACGCCGCGUGAGGGAUGACGGCCUUCGGGUUGUAAACCUCUUUCAGUAGGGAAGAAGCGAAAGUGACGGUACCUGCAGAAGAAGCACCGGCUAACUACGUGCCAGCAGCCGCGGUAAUACGUAGGGUGCGAGCGUUAUCCGGAAUUAUUGGGCGUAAAGAGCUCGUAGGCGGUUUGUCGCGUCUGUCGUGAAAGUCCGGGGCUUAACCCCGGAUCUGCGGUGGGUACGGGCAGACUAGAGUGCAGUAGGGGAGACUGGAAUUCCUGGU